rnacentral:rRNA from 1 species
CCUACGGGCGGCAGCAGUGGGGAAUAUUGCACAAUGGGCGCAAGCCUGAUGCAGCCGUGCCGCGUGUGUGAAGAAGGCCUUCGGGUUGUAAAGCACUUUCAGCGGGGAGGAAGGCGUUAAGGUUAAUAACCUUGGCGAUUGACGUUACCCGCAGAAGAAGCACCGGCUAACUCCGUGCCAGCAGCCGCGGUAAUACGGAGGGUGCAAGCGUUAAUCGGAAUUACUGGGCGUAAAGCGCACGCAGGCGGUCUGUCAAGUCGGAUGUGAAAUCCCCGGGCUCAACCUGGGAACUGCAUUCGAAACUGGCAGGCUAGAGUCUUGUAGAGGGGGGUAGAAUUCCAGGUGUAGCGGUGAAAUGCGUAGAGAUCUGGAGGAAUACCGGUGGCGAAGGCGGCCCCCUGGACAAAGACUGACGCUCAGGUGCGAAAGCGUGGGGAGCAAACAGGAUUAGAUACCCGGGUAGUC